CGCUCCCCAGGCUCCGAAAGCCUUGCCAGCCCUUGUGAUCGGGUGGCACCGCCCACCAGGCGUGUGAAAGAAAGAAGAAAAGAAGAAAAAACCCGGACCGGGCCGCCUGGCCACCCUUUGUGCGGGUGUCCGCUCCCCAGGCUCCGAAAUCCUUGCCAGCCCUUGUGAUCGGGGGGCACCGCCCACCAGGCGUGCGUGUGAAAGAAAGAAGGAAGAAAAAAACCCGGACCGGGCCGCCUGGCCACCCUUUGUGCGGGUGUCCGCUCCCCAGGCUCCGAAAGCCUUGCCAGCCCUUGUGAUCGGGUGGCACCGCAC
ensembl:lncRNA